rnacentral:rRNA from 1 species
AGGGUGUAAACGCUGCAGACUUGGUGUUGGGAACCCUUCGGGGGUGCUCAGUGCCGGAGAGAAGUUGUUAAGUCUGCUACUUGGGGAGUACGUCCGCAAGGAUGAAACUUAAAGGAAUUGGCGGGGGAGCACCGCAACGGGAGGAGCGUGCGGUUUAAUUGGACUCAACGCCGGGAAGCUCACCGGAUAAGACAGCGGAAUGAUUGCCGGGCUGAAGACUCUGCAUGACUAGCUGAGAGGAGGUGCAUGGCGUAGACGUCU